CUGUGUCACAGAGAGGGAACUGUGGGAUGCAGGAGUUCUGUGCUGACUCGGGGAGGGGUAAAUCUGUUUAACAAAAGUUAAAUUGGAGCAGUCACACAAACCAGGAAUUUUUCUCAGGAUACAGAGAACAAAAAUGGGCACCACUGCAGUUCCAGUGUAAAUGGCAGAGAAAGAGCAGGGAAGAGCAUCAUGUCAGUUCUGAAGUUUGAACCAAUGUGACUGAAACUGAAGCCGUGGUGAUGCUUCUUUAAUUAAAGCAUUUCUCACAAGGGCUUUGAGAUGCAGGAGAAAAAUAAUAAGGAUUCUGCAACACUUCCACUAACUCUCUUGGUUGUAUCAGUUUUUUUUCAAAGGCUCAGUGAACAGCAGGCAAGCCAACAUCAGGACAAGCAGCUAAGGAUCAUGCUCUGCUGGUUCUCAGAAUAGCAAAGAAAAUGCAGGAAAGCUUUGAAGGGGCUUUGAACAUCAGAAAAAUCUUUGGCAAUACCUGAAGCCCACAGAAUUUCUGAGUUAUGUGAACCUAAAGCAGAAGAGGAGACAAAGUGAACUGAAGAGCUGAAGGAUUAAAAAUAGCCUCAGAGAUUAGAGCUGCUCAGAGGUUACAGGCCCAUGAAACAUCCCACAGGAGGGUUUGUGGGGAACAGGAGCAUGUUUCUGAUUUACAGGCAGCAGCACAAGCAGAACAUCCUUGUGCCACCCUGAUGAGACACCCCAAGGAACACCCAACACAUUUCCCUCAGGGGCAAGGGAAGAGCACUGAUAACCCAGCAAACUGUCUUUAAAUCCCUGUAAUCCCUGUGUUUUCCACUGCCUGCUCACACACAAUGUCCUUGCUGUUCCAGAGCCAGUGGAACCCUUCCCACUCCUGACCCAGGGCCA
rnacentral:lncRNA from 1 species